rnacentral:lncRNA from 1 species
GUGUGCGGUGCCCCCCUCCACGAUAUUACACCUCGAUCAUAUUGUAGCGGUGCUUAGGCGAAGCCCUGCAACAGGAGAACAUCAAGAUCGUCACCACGCCGUCGUGCUGACGGAACUCCCCCUCGGAGCCUCUACUGGAUUGGAGAUCGAGGGUGCGUCAUCGAGCUGUACGUGUGUCAAGAACUCGGAGGUGCCGGAGUAACGGUGCUUGGAUCGGUCGGACCGGGAGGACGUACGACUACUUCCUCUACGUUGCGUCAACGCUUCCGCUUCGGUCUACGAGGGUACGUAGACAACACUCUCCCCUCGUUGCUAUAUCAUCACCAUGUUCUUGCGUGUGCGUAGGAAUUUUUUUGAAAUUACUACGUUCCCCAACAGUGGCAUCCGAGCCUAGGUUUUAUGCGUUGAUGUGAUAUGGUCAAAACGUGAUGAGAUAUAAGUUGUUGUAUGAGAUGAUCAUGUUUUGUUGAAGUUAUCGGCGACUGGCAGAAGCUCUAUGGUUGUCUCUUUGUUGCAUAAGAUCCAAGUGCCAAAUAAUUGCUUUACUUUAUCGCUAUGCGAUAGCAAUAGUUGCAAGAGUAAUAGUUGGUGAGACGACCAUGUGAUGACACAUUGAUAUAGAUCAAGAUGAUGAAGAUCAUGGUGUCGUGCCGGUGACGAUAGAGAUCAUGACAAUACUUUGGAGAUGGAGAUCAAAGGCGCAAGAUGAUCAUGGCCAUAUCAUGUCACAUAUUUUGAUUGCAUAUGAUGUUUAUCUGUUAUACAUCUUAUUAUGUUUUGUUUGACGGUAGCAUUUUAAGAUGAUCUCUCACUAAUUAUCAAGAAGUGUUCUCCCUGAGUAUGCACCAUUGCGAAAGUUCUUCGUGCUGAGACACCACGUGAUGAUCGGGUGUGAUAGGCUCUACGUUCAAAUACAAUGGGUGCAAAACAGUUGCACACGCGGAAUACUCAGGUUAUACUUGACGAGCCUAGCAUAUACAGAUAUGGCCUCGGAACACGGAGACCGAAAGGUCGAGCGUGAAUCAUAUAGUAGAUAUGAUCAACAUAGUGAUGUUCACCAUUGAAACUACUCCAUCUCACGUGAUGAUCGGACAUGGUUUAGUUGAUUUGGAUCACGUGAUCACUUAGAGGAUUAGAGGGAUGUCUAUCUAAGUGGGAGUUCUUAAGUAAUAUGAUUAAUUGAACUUAAAUUUAUCAUGAACUUAGUCCUGGUAGUAUUUUGCAAAUUAUGUUGUAGAUCAAUAGCUCGCGUUGUUGCUUUCAUAUGUUUAUUUUGAUAUGUUCCUAGAGAAAACUGUGUUGAAAGAUGUUAGUAGCAAUGAUGCGGAUUGGAUCCGUGAUCUGAGGUUUAUCGUCAUUGCUGCACAGAAGAAUUAUGUCCUUGAUGCACCGCUAGGUGACAGACCUAUUGCAGGAGCAGAUGCAGACGUUAUGAACGUUUGGCUAGCUCAAUAUGAUGACUACUUGAUAGUUUAGUGCACCAUGCUUAACGGCUUAGAAUCGGGACUUCAAGGAUGUUUUGAACGUCAUGGACCAUAUAAGAUGUUCCAGGAAUUGAAGUUAAUAUUUCAAGCAAAUACCCGAGUUGAGAAAUAUGAAGUUUCCAACAAGUUCUAUAGCUAAAAGAUGGAGGAGAAUCGCUCAACUAGUGAGCAUGUGCUCAGAUUGUCUGGGUACUUCAAUCGCUUGAAUCAAGUGGGAGUUAAUCUUCCAGAUAAGAUAGUGAUUGACAGUGUUCUCUAGUCACCAUCACCAAGUUAGUAGAACUUCAUGAUGAACUAUAGUAUGCAAGGGAUGACGAAAAUGAUUCCCGAGCUCUUCGUGAUGUUGAAAUCGACGAAGGUAGAAAUCAAGAAAGAGCAUCAAGUGUUGAUGGUUGACAAGAUCACUAGUUUCAAGAAAAGGGAAAGAAAGGGGAACUUCAAGUAGAUUGACAAGCAAGUUGUCACUCCCACGAAGAAGCCCAAAGCUGGACCAAAGCCUGAAACUAAGUGCUUACACUGCAAAGGAAAUGGUCACUGGAAGCGGAAAUGCCCUGAAUAUUUGGUGGAUAAGAAGGAUGGCAAAGUGAACAAUGGUAUAUUUGAUAUACAGAUUAUUGAUGUGUGCCUUACUAGUGUUUAUAGUAGUCCCUGAGUAUUUGAUACUUGUUCGGUUGCUAAGAUUAGUAACUCGAAACAGGAGUUACAGAAUAAACAGAGACUAGUUGAAGGGAAAGUGACGAUGAGUGUUGGAAGUAGUUCCAAGAUUGAUAUGAUCAUCAUUGCACACUCCCUAUACUUUCGGGAUUAGUGUUAAACCUAUAUAAAUGUUAUUUGGCGUUUGCGUUAAGCAUGAAUAUGAUUUGAUCGUGUUUAUUGCAAUACGGUUAUUCAUUUAAAAUCAGAGAAUAAUUGUUGUUCUAUUUACAUGAAUAAAAUCUUCAAUGGUCAUACACCCAAUGAAAAUAGUUUGUUGGAUCUCGAUCGUAGUGAUACACAUAUUCAUAAUAUUGAGGCCAAAAGAUGCAAAGUUAAUAAUGUAGUGCAACUUAUUUGUGGCACUGCCGUUUGGGUCAUAUCGGUGUAAAGCGCAUGAAGAAACUCCAUAAAGAUGGAUUUUCGGAAUCACUUGGUUAUGAAUCAUUUGAUGCUUGCGAACCGUGCCUUUUGGGCAAGAUGACUAAAACUCCGUUCUUCGGAACAAUGGAACGAACUACCGACUUAUUGGAAAUAAUACAUACUGAUGUAUGCAGACCAAUAAGUAUGAAGGCUCGUGGCAAGUAUCAUUAUUUUCUGACCUUCACAAGAUGAUUUGAGCAGAUAUGGGUAUAUCUACUUGAUGAAACAUAAGUCUGAAAUAGUUGAAAGGUUCAAAGAAUUUCAGAGUGAAGUGGAAAAUCAUCGUAACAAGAAAAUAAAGUUUCUGCGAUCUGAUCGUGGAGACGAAUAUUUGAGUUACGAGUUUGGUCUUCAAUUAAAACAAUGUGGAAUAGUUUCACAAACUCACGCCACCUGGAACACCACAAUGUAAUGGUGUGUCCGAACGUCGUAAUCGUACUUUACUAGAUAUGGUGCGAUCUAUGAUAUCUCUUAUCAGUUUACCACUAUCGUUUUGGGGUUAUGCAUUAAAGACAGCUGCAUUCACGUUUAAUAGGGCACCAUCUAAAUCCGUUGAAACGACACCGUAUGAACUAUGGUUUAGCAGUAAACCUGAGCUGUCGUUUCUUAAAGUUUGGAGUUGUGAUGCUUAUAUGAAAAAAGGGUUUUUCAACUUGAUAAGCUCGAGCCCAAAUCGGAGAAGUGCGUCUUCAUAGAAUACCCAAAGGAAAUUGUUGGGUACACCUUCUAUCACAGAUCCAAAGGCAAAUUUGUUGCUGAUAAUAGAUCCUUUCUAGAGAAGGAGUUUCUCUCGAAAGAAGUGAGUGGGAGGAAAGUAGAACUUGAUGAGGUAACUGUACCUACUCCCUUAUUGGAAAGUAGUUCAUCACAGAAAUCAGUUCCUGUGACAAAUACACCAAUUAGUGAGGAAGCUAAUGAUAUUGAUCAUGAAACUUCAGAUCAAGUUACUACAGAACCUCGUAGGUCCUCCAGAGUAAGAUCCGCACCAGAGUGGUGUAGUAAUCAUGUUCUGGAAGUCAUGUUACUAGACCAUGAUGAACCUACGAACUAUGAGGAAUCGAUGAUGAGCCCAGAUUCCGCGAAAUGGCUCGAAGCCAUAAAAUCUGAGAUAUGAUCCAUGUAUGAGAACAAAGUAUGGACUUUGAUUAACUUGCUCGAUGAUCAGCAAGCCAUGUUAAAUGAAUGGAUCUUCAAGAGGAAGAUGGACACUGAUAGUAGUAUUACUAUCUACCAAGCUCGACUUGUUGCGAAAGGUUUUCAACAAGUUCAAGGUGUUGAAUACGAUGAGAUUUUCUCACUCGUAUCGAUGCUUAAGUCUGUCUGAAUCAUGUUAGCAAUUGCCACAUUUUAUGAAAUCUGGCAAAUGGAUGUCAAAACUGCAUUCCUUAAUGGAUUUAUUAAAGAAGAGUUGUAUAUGAUGCAACCAGAAGGUUUUGUCAAUCCUAAAGGUGCUAACAAAAUGUGCAAGCUCCAGCGAUCCAUCUAUGGACUGGUGCAAGCAUCUCGGAGUUGGAAUAUACGCCUUGAUAAGUUGAUCAAAGCAUAUAGUUUUAUAUGGACUUACGCGGAAGCCUGUAUUUACAAUAGUGGGAGCACUACAGCUUUUCUGAUUAGUAUAUGUGAGUGACAUAUUGUUGAUCAGAAAUGAUGUAGAAUUUUUCUGCAAAGCAUAAAGGAGUGUUUUAAAGGAGUUCUUUAAAAAGGAAAGACCUCAGUAAAAGCUACUUACAUAUUGAGCAUCAAGAUCUAUUGAGAUAGAUCAAGACGCUUGAUAAGAUUUUCAAUGAGUACAUACCUUGGCAAGAUUUUGAAAUAGUUCAAAAUGGAACAGUCAAAGAAAGAGUUCUUGCCUGUGUUGCAAAGGUAUGAAAUUGAGUAAGACUCAAAUCCCGACCACAGCAGAAAAUAGAAAGAGAAUGAAAAGUCAUUCCCUAUGCCUCAGUCAUAGGUUCUAUAAAGUAUGCUAUGCUAUGUACCAGACCUAUUGUAUACCUUGCUCUGUAUUUGGCAAGGGAGUACAAUAGUGAUCUAGGAGUAGAUCACUGGACAUUGGUCAAGAAUAUCCUUAAUAAGGACUAAGGAGAUGUUUCUCGAUUAUGGAGGUGAUAAAAGAGUUUAUUGUAAAAGUUACAUCAGUGCAAACUUUUACACUGAUCCAGAUGACUCUAAGUCUCAACCUGGAUACAUAUUGAAAGUGGGAGCAAUUAGCUAGAGUAGCUCCGUGCAGAGCAUUGUGGACAUAAAAUAUUUGCAAAAUACAUACGGAUCUGAAUGUGACAGACCCGCUGACUAAGCUUCUCUCACGAGCAAAACAUGAUCACACCUUAGUACUCUUUGGGUGUUAAUCACAUAGCGAUGUGAACUAGAUUAUUGACUCUAGUAAACCCUUUGGAUGUUGGUCACAUGAUGAUGUGAACUAUGGGUGUUAAUCAUAUACAGAUAUGAAUAUUGGUGUUAAAUCACAUGGCGAUGUGAACUAGAUUAUUGACUCUAGUGCAAGUGGGAGACUGAAGGAAAUAUGCCCUAGAGGCAAUAAUAAAGUUAUUAUUUAUUUCCUUAUUUCAUGAUAAAUGUUUAUUAUUCAUGCUAGAAUUGUAUUAACCGGAAACAUAAUACAUGUGUGAAUACAUAGACAAACAUAGUGUCACUAGUAUGCCUCUACUUGACUAGCUCGUUUAUCAGAGAUGGUUAUGUUUCCUAACCAUAGACAUGUGUUGUCAUUUGAUUAAAUGGGAUCACAUCAUUAGGAGAAUGAUGUGAUUGACAUGACCCAUCCCGUUAGCUUAGCACUUGAUCGUUUAGUAUUCUGCUAUUGCUUCCUUCAUGACUUAUACAUGUUCCUGUAACUAUGAGAAUUGUGUAACUCCCGUUUACCGGAGGAACACUUUGGGUAAUACCAAAUGUCUCAACGUAACUGGGUGAUUAUAAAGGUGUACUACAGGUGUUUCCGAAGGUACAUGUUGAGUUGGCAUAAUUCGAGAUUAGGAUUUGUCACUCCGAUUGCCGGAGAGGUAUCUCUGGGCCCUCUCGGUAAUACUCAUCACCUAAGCCUUGCAAGCAUGUAACUAAUGAGUUAGUUAUGAGAUGAGUAUUACGGAACGAGUGAAGAGACUUACCGGUAACGAGAUUGAACUAGGUAUUGGAUACCGACGAUCAAAUCUCGGGUAAGUAACAUACCGAUGACAAAGGGAACAACGUAUGUUGUUGUGCGAUUUGACCGAUAAAGAUCUUCGUAGAAUAUGUAGGAACCAAUAUGGGCAUCCAGGUCCCGCUAUUGGUUAUUGACCAGAGACGUGUCUCAGUCAUGUCUACAUCGUUCUUGAACCGUAGGGUCCGCACGCUUAAGGUUUCGAUGACAGUUAUAUUAUGAGUUUAUAUAUUUUGAUGUACCGAAGUUUGUUCGGAGUCCCGGAUGUGAUCACGGACAUGACGAGGAGUCUCGAAAUGGUCGAGACAUAAAGAUUGAUAUAUUGGACGAAUAUAUUUGGACACCGGAAAGGUUCCGGGAGAGUUUGGGAAAAUACCGGAGCUCCGGGAGGUUACCGGAACCCCCCGGUAAGUAUAUGGGCCUUAUUGGGCCCAAGUGGAAGGAAGGGAGAAGGAGCAAGGGAGGGGGGCGCGCCCCCCCAAGCCCAAUCCGAAUUGGGGAGGGGGGCCGACCCCCCCUUUCCUUUCUCCUUCCCCCUCUUCCUUCCUACUACUAGUACUCCUUCCUUCCCCCUCCAUAUUGGAUUAGGAAAAGGAGGGGAAACCUACCUUGGGCCGGCCACCUCCUCCCUCCCUCCUUUAUAUACGGGGGUAGGGGGGCACCCUAGAACACACAAGUUGAUCAUUGAUCGUUCCUUAGCCGUGUGCGGUGCCCCCCUCCACGAUAUUACACCUCGAUCAUAUUGUAGCGGUGCUUAGGCGAAGCCCUGCAACAGGAGAACAUCAAGAUCGUCACCACGCCGUCGUGCUGACGGAACUCCCCCUCGGAGCCUCUACUGGAUUGGAGAUCGAGGGUGCGUCAUCGAGCUGUACGUGUGUCAAGAACUCGGAGGUGCCGGAGUAACGGUGCUUGGAUCGGUCGGACCGGGAGGACGUACGACUACUUCCUCUACGUUGCGUCAACGCUUCCGCUUCGGUCUACGAGGGUACGUAGACAACACUCUCCCCUCGUUGCUAUAUCAUCACCAUGUUCUUGCGUGUG